rnacentral:rRNA from 1 species
GACGAACGCUGGCGGCGUGCCUAAUACAUGCAAGUUGAGCGCUGAAGGUUGGUACUUGUACCAACUGGAUGAGCAGCGAACGGGUGAGUAACGCGUGGGGAAUCUGCCUUUGAGCGGGGGACAACAUUUGGAAACGAAUGCUAAUACCGCAUAAAAACUUUAAACACAAGUUUUAAGUUUGAAAGAUGCAAUUGCAUCACUCAAAGAUGAUCCCGCGUUGUAUUAGCUAGUUGGUGAGGUAAAGGCUCACCAAGGCGAUGAUACAUAGCCGACCUGAGAGGGUGAUCGGCCACAUUGGGACUGAGAAACGGCCCAAACUCCUACGGGAGGAAGCAGUAGGGAAUCUUCGGCAAUGGACGAAAGUCUGACCGAGCAACGCCGCGUGAGUGAAGAAGGUUUUCGGAUCGUAAAACUCUGUUGGUAGAGAAGAACGUUGGUGAGAGUGGAAAGCUCAUCAAGUGACGGUAACUACCCAGAAGGGGACGGCUAACUACGUG